ACCUCACAGACUAAAGUGUGGAAAAUAUUAAGCAAAAGGACAAAAAUAGAGAAAAUAUGAAACACUUCCUUGUUUCUGCUGACACAGUUUACGAAGGAGAAAUAAGUCUUUGGAGUUAAAUUUUUGAACUCCCAACAGUUUCCUUAAAUUUAAUGCCAAAUCCAAAAAGGCAUCAAUCAAGUUCACACACUCUUUUGCUCUUCUUACUCAAUAUAGAGUUUAUAUAGCAGCAUAAGGA